rnacentral:sRNA from 1 species
AUUUAGCCCCGAUUGAAGCAAGUAUCCUUUUUUAUUAAUCGCAUCUCGACUGCGCUCGAUUUGACAAAAAGAUACUGCGAAAAGCAGGAAUAGCA